CCGGAAAUCUUAUGUCCAUCUUUAUUUACUUUCAUUUUUGUUUGUAUAACGGCAUUUCCGGAAGUCUGCACGAGGUUCAUGCACUCAAAUUUAUCAACGAAACUUCUUGUUAUAUAGUGGCAACCAUCUUUCACAGAAUGUCUCACAAGAGAAUGUAUGAAGUCUGCUCCAGACCCUUGAAAGUUGAAUUCUGAAUAAAUUUUAUGAACCUU